UACGUAGGGUGCGAGCGUUGUCCGGAAUUAUUGGGCGUAAAGAGCUUGUAGGCGGUUUGUCGCGUCUGCUGUGAAAAUCCGGGGCUCAACCCCGGACUUGCAGUGGGUACGGGCAGGCUAGAGUGUGGUAGGGGAGACUGGAAUUCCUGGUGUAGCGGUGGAAUGCGCAGAUAUCAGGAGGAACACCGGUGGCGAAGGCGGGUCUCUGGGCCGAUACUGACGCUGAGGAGCGAAAGCGUGGGGGAGCGAACAGG
rnacentral:rRNA from 1 species